rnacentral:tRNA from 1 species
GGGAAUGUAGCUCAGUGGUAGAGUGCUUGCUUGGCAUGCAUGGGGCCCUAGUCCAAUCCCC